UGCAACCUGAACAAGGUUUGUGAGCACCUAGCUUAAUCCUUCUGUAUGGAUCCUACAAGCAGAAGUCAUCCACAUCACGUUUUAAUAUUCUGGAGUAUUGUUUCAUCCCUAGCUCCACUUGCAGCUCAAAACCUGUGCAUACCAUAGUUUGCACAACUAGCAGACCCCUAGAAUCUGUUGCAUGGAGUGAGCUACCUUUUUUUUGCAGGAUCAUGGAGUGAGCUACCAAAUAGACAUGUAACAAAAACAAUAUUUUCUUUCAUCUUGAUAUAAAUAUAAUUGUGCUAUUGGGUCUUUAGUGGAAUAGAUGUGCAAAGCAACAAUGAUAUACCUUGUCAACGGAAGUACCUUGUUCAAUAUAGAAUACUCUAAAUUUUGAACCGUAUA
rnacentral:lncRNA from 1 species